rnacentral:ncRNA from 2 species
AUAUUUGCACAGGGGAGCUAGUAAAACUGGCUGAGAGUAAAAGUGUGUACUUUUAGACCCUUAACCUGAACUGGAUAAUACCAGCGUAGGAAGUGUGUUUGGGAUACUU